UCCGCUGUGAGGUGGAAUCUGAAGGAAGUCUAAGGCAAAGUACUGCACCGAUGAACAAGAAGUAGCUAUAAGGCUGAGAGUAACUGGAUAAGGUUGCU
rfam:Lactobacillus panis DSM 6035 NODE_54, whole genome shotgun sequence.